ACCUGGCCGGCUCAGCCGGUAGAGCGUGUGACUACUGAUCUCAGGGUUGUGAGUUCAAGCCCCACACUGGGUA
rnacentral:tRNA from 1 species